AUAUAUAUAUGUAUGUAUAUAUAUAUUGUAUGUAUAAACGAGAAGGAGGAGAAACAAAAAUUAAAACGAAAAUAAAAAAUAAACGCAAAGUAAGAAAAAAAGUUUUCAUUCUCAUCAAUUAUGCUCUGCUGGUUUGGAGCUGUAGUCAUAUCGUUAGUGUUUAAGUCUGUAUGUGACGAUGUUAAUUAUUGUAAUAUAUAAAAUUAAUAAGUAGGAGCAUAUCAAACUGUUUGUCUGGUAUUACUGGGCAUGCUUCGAUAGAUUUUUUUAUAACAAAAAAAAAAAAAAAAACGACAAGAAAAAGAACAAAAAGAACAAAAAUAACAACAAUAACAAUAACAAUAAUAAUACUAAUAAUACUAAUAAUAAUACUAAUAAUAAUACUAAUAAUAAUACUAAUAAUAAUAAUAAUAAUAAUAAUAAUAAUAAUAAUAAUAAUAAUAAUAAUAAUAAUAAUAAUAAACAAUUUGUUUCACACUCUUUCUUAAAUUUCAGACUCAAUUGUUCGAAGCGAACCUAAUAUUUGUCAGAGCAAUUGCACCUUCGAAAAAAAUGGGAAAAAAAAUUGAAAAACAAACAAAAAAUAAUAUCGAAAAAAUGGAGAAGAAAAAUUUGAACGAAAAAAGGAAGAAAAAAAAUAUAUAUAUAUAUAUGUAUGUAUAUAUAUAUAUAUAUAUAUAUAUAUAUACAUAAAGAAAAGAAAAGAAAAUUAUCCUCGUUUUUCACCUCUGCGGAGUGUUUUGGGCCCUUCCGUCCAAUACGCCAUGUACCUCUGUCAUAAUUUAUUUAAUUUUUGCAAAUUAAUUAAAAUAAAAAUUGUUAAUCCUAAAAUUUUAAGUGUGAAUGUACGUUAUACUAUAUACAUCAUUCCUUUGUUUAACUGUAAGACCUGUAAGCUGGGCAAUUCUCUGCGACGAGUAUUGAGGCGACAACUCCUGAUUAAUACGAACGUAUCUUCUGAAUUAAAAUCGAGAUAAAUAAGAAAGUAUAAGGCAUACAUGUAUAAUGCGAGACGCGACAAAGAUUCUCCUUUGUCAAAAUUUAUUUUAUUGCGGAUGAUAUGAUAUGAUAUAUAUCCGGAGGAAUAUAUCGUACGUAUAUAUAUACGCAAUUAACGAAUAUUAUGAAAAUUAAUUUUAUUGUUACUGUAAAAUUAUCACGCAAUAUAUAAAAGAUAUAAAAAAAAGGCAGCCUUGCAAUUUCAUCAACUAUAGUUUAUAUACAUCGUAUAUUAAGGAAUUAUCGGGCUAUUUAACUGCAGAUAUUAUAUUUCCAAUUGGGAUAUGGCACCUCGUAUAUUAUUUACGAUUGUAUGAUCUUACCUGCUUUUCCUGAAAUGUUAACGCGAUAUGAUCUCGCGACAAGUCAGUUUCACUUCUUAUCUAUAAAAGUGCCCUUGAGAAUGAUUUACUUAGUUUGAGUAACAAAAAAUUUCAAUUGUUCUGUUCUUAUUGAACAUAUUUUACAUUUGUUUGCAAUUUCUCAAUUUUUGAUCAAUUUUUCACUCACGUUCCUUUUUCCAAUCCCGCAUGCAUAUUUCAGGAACAGAUUGAAAGGAAUCAAUACAUGUAAGAGGACAAAUUCCAAUGUUUAUUGAGUCAAAGUAUAGACAAUACAGAUAUCAGAUUCACAAUUUUAUCAGAAUGUCCCAACAGGUGUCGAACAUUACAGGUUUAUGUAUCGUUCCUCCAAGUCGCAUGUUCGUUGACAGAGACGUUUAACUACUUCGAAUAAAAUAAGUGCAUGAAUGUAGCCGAGGAAUAAUUUACAUCGAUCGAAUGCCAUACUUCAUUGAUCGAACCGGAGCUUGUUUGGCCUAACUGGUUGAAUCAGUUGCACCAAUUCGUUGACUGAAGAACACAAAGACGGAUACCUCGGAGAGUUCUGCCUCUAUUGACUCUACCUAACGGGCUCGCACCGACAUUCGUAACAGCCCAAAUAGUGUCGGUAUGGAAGCUUGAGAUUAAGUCGGUACAAAGUGAGUACGUAAGACUAGUCGUCGACUGCGACUUAGGAAUGUCGAUCAGCUCGAUCAUCACCGUGAGAGGACGCGUAGCCGCGUCCACCGCCAACCGCCGCAACAACCGCCGAGCACCUCCAACCACCUCCAAACACUUCCUACUCGCUCCAAGCACCGCUAAACACCCCUGCCACCUCCUACCACCGCUAACCGACCCCUACCACCUGGAAGCACCUCCUAUCAGCUCCUACUACCUCAUACCAUUUCCGAACACUUCCUACCACCCCAUACCACCUCCUGCUGGCGCCUACCACCGCCAACCAUUUCCGAACACCUUCAACCACCUCCGACCACCUUCAUCUUCUUCGUCCCCCUGCUCGUCCAUGUAUUCUAUAACAUUAUUAUUCAUAAUUCUUUCAACAACUUUUCAUUUGCUCUCUCGAUCUUGAAUUUUGGCAGGAAGAGAAUCGAAACGCUGUUUUAGUCAAGUAGCAAGUGAAGUAUCUACGUUGGGUAGAGAAGCAGAAUUGUUUUUCGAAAAGUAUUCUUAUGAAUAUCCUUGGUCAACGGCCGACCAUCGAAGGGUAGCCGCUUGAGUCUGGAAUCGGCAGGAAAGAUAAAAAUCAGCUAGCCGAAUUCCUCAGUCUGGAAACAACCGCGCGGUAGAGCGGA
rnacentral:lncRNA from 1 species